GAUGAACGCUGGCGGCGUGCUUAACACAUGCAAGUCGAGCGAACAGAUGUGGUUCUUGCUCCUCUGACGUUAGCGGCGGAUGGGUGAGUCAUACGUGGACAACCCACCUCUAUGACUUAGAUAACGUCGAGAAACCGUAGCACAUACCGGAUGAUACAGUUACCUGCAUGGUGCAGUAGAGAAUGACGGGUUUGCUGUGACCUAUAGACUUAUCCGCGGGGCAGUAGCUUGUUGGCUUGCCAACGGCUUGCCAAGGCGACGAUGGGUAGCCGACGUGAGCAGGUGAAGGGCCACACUGGGACUGAGCCGCGGUCCAGACUCCUACGGGCGGCAGCAGUAGCGAAUCUUGGGCGAUGGGCGGAAGCCUGAAGGAGCGGCGCAGGGUGGGUGAUGAAGGGCUUCGGGUGGUAAGACUGUGUUCGUGGGGAAGAACGAAUGUGUAAGUGACUAUGCACGUCUUGACGGUAGCGGGUCAGGAAGCACCGGCUAACUACGUG
rnacentral:rRNA from 1 species